rnacentral:misc_RNA from 1 species
UGGCUCUGGCAUCGAUGAAGAACGCAGCGAAAUGCGAUAAGUAAUGUGAAUUGCAGAAUUCAGUGAACCAUCGAAUCUUUGAACGCACAUUGCGCCCGCCAGCAUUCUGGCGGGCAUGCCUGUUCGAGCGUCAUUUCAACCCUCAGGCCCCCGCCGGGGGCCUGGUGUUGGGGACCGGCCACGGCCGCCCCCCAAACGCAGUGGCGACCUCGCCGCAGCCUCCCCUGCGCAGUAGCACAAGCUCGCACCGGAGCGCGGAGACGGUCACGCCGUAAAACGCCCCAAACUCUCAGAGUUGACCUCGGAUCAGGUAGGAAUACCCGCUGA